rnacentral:rRNA from 1 species
CCUACGGGAGGCUGCAGUGAGGAAUAUUGGUCAAUGGACGAGAGUCUGAACCAGCCAAGUAGCGUGAAGGAUGACUGCCCUAUGGGUUGUAAACUUCUUUUAUAUGGGAAUAAAAUGUUCCACGUGUGGGAUUUUGUAUGUACCAUAUGAAUAAGGAUCGGCUAACUCCGUGCCAGCAGCCGCGGUAAUACGGAGGAUCCGAGCGUUAUCCGGAUUUAUUGGGUUUAAAGGGAGCGUAGGUGGAUUGUUAAGUCAGUUGUGAAAGUUUGCGGCUCAACCGUAAAAUUGCAGUUGAAACUGGCAGUCUUGAGUACAGUAGAGGUGGGCGGAAUUCGUGGUGUAGCGGUGAAAUGCUUAGAUAUCACGAAGAACUCCUAUUGCGAAGGCAGUUCACUGGACUGCAACUGACACUGAGGCUCGAAAGUGUGGGUAUCAAACAGGAUUAGAUACCCUUGUAGUC